rnacentral:rRNA from 1 species
ACGGAAGGCAGCAGUGAGGAAUAUUGGUCAAUGGGCGCAGGCCUGAACUAGCCAAGUCGCGUGAGGGAUGACGGUCCUACGGAUUGUAAACCUCUUUUGCCGGGGAGUAACAAGCGGUACGCGUACCGCCGUGAGAGUACCCGGAGAAAAAGCAUCGGCUAACUCCGUGCCAGCAGCCGCGGUAAUACGGAGGAUGCGAGCGUUAUCCGGAUUUAUUGGGUUUAAAGGGUGCGCAGGCGGCGCGUCAAGUCAGCGGUCAAAUCCCGGGGCUCAACCUCGGUCCGCCGUUGAAACUGCCGUGCUCGAGUUCGUGCGAGGAGAGCGGAAUGCGUGGUGUAGCGGUGAAAUGCAUAGAUAUCACGCAGAACGCCGAUUGCGAAGGCAGCCCUCCAGCACUGGACUGACGCUCAUGCACGAAAGCGUGGGUAUCGAACAGGAUUAGAUACCCUGGUA